rnacentral:rRNA from 1 species
UACAGAGGGGGCCAGCGUUAUUCGGAUUUACUGGGCGUAAAGGGCGCGUAGGCGGCCACCGCAAGUCGACUGUGAAAUCUCCGGGCUUAACCCGGAAAGGUCAGCCGAUACUGCGGGGCUAGAGUGCAGAAGGGGCAACUGGAAUUCUCGGUGUAGCGGUGAAAUGCGUAGAUAUCGAGAGGAACACCUGCGGCGAAGGCGGGUUGCUGGGCUGACACUGACGCUGAGGCGCGAAAGCUAGGGGAGCGAACGGG